rnacentral:rRNA from 1 species
AACGAACGCUGGCGGCAGGCCUAACACAUGCAAGUCGAACGGACCUUUCGGGGUUAGUGGCGGACGGGUGAGUAACACGUGGGAACGUGCCCUUUGGUUCGGAAUAGCUCCUGGAAACGGGUGGUAAUGCCGAAUGUGCCCUUCGGGGGAAAGAUUUAUCGCCAUUGGAGCGGCCCGCGUCUGAUUAGCUAGUUGGUGAGGUAAAGGCUCACCAAGGCGACGGUCAGUAGCUGGUCUGAGAGGAUGAUCAGCCACAUUGGGACUGAGACACGGCCCAAACUCCUACGGGAGGCAGCAGUGGGGAAUCUUGCGCAAUGGGCGAAAGCCUGACGCAGCCAUGCCGCGUGAAUGAUGAAGGUCUUAGGAUUGUAAAAUUCUUUCACCGGGGACGAUAAUGACGGUACCCGGAGAAGAAGCCCCGGCUAACUUCGUGCCAGCCGCCGCGGUAAUAC